rnacentral:rRNA from 1 species
AGAGUUUGAUCCUGGCUCAGAUUGAACGCUGGCGGUAUGCUUAACACAUGCAAGUCGAACGGAAACGGAACUAGCUUGCUAGUAGACGUCGAGUGGCGGACGGGUGAGUAACGCGUAGGAAUCUGCCUGAUAGUGGGGGAUAGCCCGAAGAAAUUCGGAUUAAUACCGCAUAAUCUAUUCGUAGUAAAGUGAGGGACUUUCGAGCCUCACGCUAUCAGAUGAGCCUGCGUAAGAUUAGCUUGUUGGUAGGGUAAAAGCCUACCAAGGCAACGAUCUUUAGCUGGUCUGAGAGGAUGAUCAGCCACAUCGGGACUGAGACACGGCCCGAACUCCUACGGGAGGCAGCAGUGGGGAAUAUUGGACAAUGGGGGCAACCCUGAUCCAGCAAUACCGCGUGUGUGAAGAAGGCCUGAGGGUUGUAAAGCACUUUCAAUUGUGAAGAAAAGUCAACGGUUAAUAACCGUUGACCUUGACGUUAACUUUAGAAGAAGCACCGGCUAACUCCGUGCCAGCAGCCGCGGUAAUACGGAGGGUGCAAGCGUUAUCCGGAUUUAUUAGGUUUAAAGGGUUCGCAGGCGGAAUUUUAAGUCAGUGGUGAAAGCCUAUAGCUCAACUAUAGAACUGCCAUUGAUACUGAAAUUCUUGAGUAUAGAUGAAGUGGGCGGAAUAUGUCAUGUAGCGGUGAAAUGCAUAGAUAUGACAUGGAACACCAAUUGCGAAGGCAGCUCACUAAGCUAUUACUGACGCUCAUGAACGAAAGCGUGGGGAGCGAACAGGAUUAGAUACCCUGGUAGUCCACGCCGUAAACUAUGAUCACUAGAUGUUGGCGAUAUAUUGUCAGUGUUUUAGAGAAAUCGUUAAGUGAUCCACCUGGGGAGUACGUUCGCAAGAAUGAAACUCAAAGGAAUUGACGGGGGCCCGCACAAGCGGAGGAGCAUGUGGUUUAAUUCGAUGAUACGCGAGGAACCUUACCAAGACUUAAAUGUAUUUUGCUAGAUUGAGAAAUCAAUUUUUCUUCGGACAAUUUACAAGGUGCUGCAUGGUUGUCGUCAGCUCGUGCCGUGAGGUGUCGGGUUAAGUCCCAUAACGAGCGCAACCCCUAUCUCUAGUUACCAGCGAGUAAUGUCGGGAACUCUAGAGAGACUGCCUGUGUAAACAGUGAGGAAGGUGGGGAUGAUGUCAAAUCAUCACGGCCCUUAUGUCUUGGGCUACACACGUGCUACAAUGGUCACUACAGUGGGCUGCCAUCUGGUGACAGAGAGCAAAUCCAUAAAGGUGAUCCCAGUUCGGAUCGGAGUCUGCAACUCGACUCUGUGAAGUUGGAUUCGCUAGUAAUCGUAUAUCAGCAAUGAUACGGUGAAUACGUUCCCGGGCCUUGUACACACCGCCCGUCAAGCCAUGGAAGUUUGUAGUGCCUGAAGUCAGUAACCGCAAGGAUCUGCCUAGGGUAAGACAGAUAACUAGGGCUAAGUCGUAACAAGGUAACC